rnacentral:rRNA from 1 species
UUUUCUUUUAGCCCCAAAUGCUAACGUGCUUUUACACCAUUUUAAUUUUGCAAAUUAGAAGUUAAAAUAAAUUUCGAAUCUUAAUUUCAAUGUAUAUUUAUUUACUAUUUCCUCGACAAGGAAAAAAUUUAAGGUAAAUUUUUUAAAUUUCUUUAGUUUCCUUUCGUACUAUAAAGAAUUUUUUAUUUUAUUUAUUAAUUAAAAGAUUUAAACCAACCUGGCUCACGCCGGUUUGAACUCAAAUCACGUAGAGAUUAUUUACUUGGACGAACAGUCCAUAAUUAGUGCAUUCUUCUGCAAAAAUGAAAAUUUUCUAAUUUUCUCUGGUUCAACAUCGAGGUCAUACUCUUUUCUUAAAAUUGGGUCUUCUAAGAAAAUAUUAUGCUGUUAUCCCUUUAGUAUCUAUAUUUCUAUCAUUUACUAAAUAAAUAGGUAAAAACACUCUGAAAUAAGAAAAUUAUAUUCUCUGUUGCCCCAACAAUUCAAAUUUCUUUUUUCUAAAAAAAAAAAUUAAAAGAUUAAAGGGUCUUAUCGUCUUUUUUUUUAUUGGGGGAGAUUUAACCUCCAUCUUAUUUUACUAAAUUUAUAGAAAAUUUUUCCCGCGUUAACCCAUUCAGACAAUCCGCCAAUUAGGCGGCUAGUAAUUAUGCUACCUUUGCAAAUUAUUUUGGCUUUUUUAAUUUUUAAAAUUAUGUGAGCAGGGCCUACUUCAAUUUAAUUUUCCUUUUUUUGAAGAAAUGUUUUUGUUAAACAGUCGGGGAUUUUGAUUAUUUAUUUUUGUUUUGAAUUCUUUUAAAUUUAUUUUUUUCUCUAAAGAUUAUUUUAUUUUGAAAUUGAUCUUAUUUUAUUCCCGGAUAUUUUUCAAUUUUCCUUUUUCCAAAGUUUUUUGAAAAAUUUUUUUUUUUUCUAAUAUCUUAUCCUCUUUGAUAGGUAAUUUAUUUUUGUUUACUUUCUAAGAAAUUGAUCAAUAGCCAGUUUUUUAGGUCCGAUUUUCUUUUUUAGAACUUUUUGUUUUACUCCUCUUUUUUAUGAGAAAAAUAUAUUUUUUUUGUUUUUAGAUCACCUAAAUUCGGUUCCUUUAGUCGUAAUACAAAAAGACUUUUUCAAAAAAUGGAAUUUUCUUUUCUUCAGUACGUGUAAAAUACUUUAAAUCCUUUCGGUUUUUUGAUUUACAGUCAUUUUUCAUUUAACAGAUGAACUUAUUUUCAAUAAAUUUGAUUUGAAAUCAAAAGUUACUUAGUCUCCAAAACUAAAUUCUUAGCUUUUUACAAGAAAGCGAAUU